GAUCUUGGUUCAGGAUAAACGCUGGCGGCGUGCUUAACACAUGCAAGUCGAACGGAGUACUUCUCCCGAGACCGAGGAAGCUUGCUUCCAAAGAAUCAUUUGAAGUACUUAGUGGCGGACGGGUGAGUAACGCGUGGGUAACCUGCCUCACACAGGGGGAUAACAGUUGGAAACGACUGUUAAUACCGCAUAAGCGCACAGUAUCGCAUGGUACAGUGUGAAAAACUCCGGUGGUGUGAGAUGGACCCGCGUCUGAUUAGCUAGUUGGUGAGGUAACGGCCCACCAAGGCGACGAUCAGUAGCCGGCCUGAGAGGGUGUACGGCCACAUUGGGACUGAGACACGGCCCAAACUCCUACGGGAGGCAGCAGUGGGGAAUAUUGCACAAUGGGGGAAACCCUGAUGCAGCGACGCCCGCGUGAGCGAUGAAGUAUUUCGGUAUGUAGAGCUCUAUCAGCAGGGAAGAUAAUGACGGUACCUGACUAAGAAGCACCGGCUAAAUACGUGCCAGCCGCCGC
rnacentral:rRNA from 1 species